UCAACCAGACAAACCCCUUAAAUCAUGCAAACCCCUCUCUCUCCCUCUUAUCUCUGUAAUUCUCAGACCUCGAGCCUCGAUUGUUGACUUUGAAAUUCUUCAUUUCUUGCCAAAAUUUGAUCUAAAUCAGGUAUUAUAAAUUCGAAUCUGAAUUUUUGGGGUAUGUCUUCCUCCCAAUAGUGUUUUCCUUCAACUUGCUCAAUCAAUUUGAGAGACCCUACUCAAAUGGCUAUUUGGGGAACUAAAAUCAAUAUUUUCCCUAUAAAUAGACGUUGAGGGGAAGAAGAAAAAGGAGAUUUUGGUGAAAAACUUGGGGGUUCCGAAGGCACUCGCUUUUAACCUCACGUAAUCAAAAUUUUUGAAGAACACAACUUGCAAAAUUCAACGAAUUUGUUUAAAUUUCGGUGGAACAGAAUCGAGUUUUCGGUGAUGAAAGUUACAUCGUUAAGCCCAUUUAUCUCCGUUCACCUGUUCGAAAACAGGUGAAUUUUCUUUUUCGCAUUUGAGUGCCAUAAACACGAAAUCUUGCAAUAAUUAUGAGCAUGGACUGAUCUGGUGGUAUUAUUGUGUGGUAAUAAUGACAGAUUCAGUUGGAAUUGAGAGUUUGCUCGAUUAUGUGUGAAUUGUUGAAAAUUUCAAACUUUCGACAGUAAGUAUGGUUCACCAUUAUGUCACGCUCGUAAAAAGCUAAGAAUGUCAUUUUCUCUUUUGUGUGUUUAUCUUUUCCGGCCUUUGUGUUAAAGCAGAUUCGUGGUAGAACAGUGAUUCUGUGAUGUCAUGUUAUAUGCUCUAAAUCUUGAAUACUUCACUUGCAGGAAAUACACGUCUUGCAUUUUUCUUCUUCUUUGUUCAAUUAGAUUAAUAUGUUGAAAUUGCAUUUGGUUUUCUUGAUUUAUUCAUUUUAAUGAAAUGCUAGUUUGUUCAUAUCAAUUUUUUUAGAAAUGUGGUGUCUUGUGUUAUAUAUGCACGCUGGAAAGGUGUUGGAGUCCAAUUUUUGGUUGUGUAGGAUACGUAUCAUGUGCUUUUUCUUUGAUUCAUGCAUUUUAAUGGUGAUGCCUUUUUGUUUACAGUGUUAGGUUCAGAAAGUUUGUGUCUUUGGCAUAUAUAUAUGCACAUAGGAACAAUCAAUUUUGUGGGAUACCUAUUCCUUAAAAUGACAAAUUGGCUAUGUUGACUAAUUUAUAAAAACUUACUAGUGCACCAAAUUCAUAAAAACACAUAUUUUGUUUUACUGUUUUUUUAAUCAUCUUUAUGAUACAUUUUAUCUAGUUUAUCAAUUAUCAUGCCAAAGUAUAUUUUUGAUGUAAAGGAUAUCAAACGGAUGUGAACAAAAGUCUUAAUUUGAGUUGUAAUUACGUAUCAUGAAUUGGUAUCUCGUGGUGAACAAGGGUGCAUUAGUUUCAUUUUUUCUUCUUUCGGUUAAUUCUCAUCCUUAUUGCGUACUAGUAUGGAUACUAAUCUUUACCCCUUUUUAUAUGCAUGAACUCCUCCGUUGAGUCCCACGGGAUCCCCCCUCUCCUGCAUUCCUUACUUGGGCCAAUGAGCCCUAAUAUCAUCGAGUCAAAAUCCCAUGUCGAAGCCCCAAAACGGGACUGAUCUGCAGUGAUAUACAGAGAAUAUAUGACCGAGACAACUGAGAUACGGGUUGCGAGAAUGAUAAAGGGUCAAGGACACAGACAUCAAUGUUAAGGUUCAUAUUGAGCCAAUAUACGUCCCAAUAUACCUGGGAUAUACAGAAAAACGCGAAAAAAAGGGGCUCUGAUAUACAGCCGGUAUACAUGCAGGAAAUGGACAUAAAGUCCAUAAAAUUUGAAGCCCAAGGGCUGGGCAGCCUAUAGAUGGGCCAA
rnacentral:lncRNA from 1 species